CCUACGGGAGGCAGCAGUGGGGAAUUUUGGACAAUGGGUCGCAAGCCUGAUCCAGCAAUGCCGCGUGCAGGAUGAAGGCCUUCGGGUUGUAAACUGCUUUUGUACGGAACGAAAAAGUCUGCCCUAAUACGGUGGGCCCAUGACGGUACCGUAAGAAUAAGCACCGGCUAACUACGUGCCAGCAGCCGCGGUAAUACGUAGGGUGCGAGCGUUAAUCGGAAUUACUGGGCGUAAAGCGUGCGCAGGCGGUUAUAUAAGACAGAUGUGAAAUCCCCGGGCUCAACCUGGGACCUGCAUUUGUGACUGUAUAGCUAGAGUACGGUAGGGGGGGAUGGAAUUCCGCGUGUAGCAGUGAAAUGCGUAGAUAUGCGGAGGAACACCGAUGGCGAAGGCAAUCCCCUGGACCUGUACUGACGCUCAUGCACGAAAGCGUGGGGAGCAAACAGGAUUAGAUACCCUGGUAGUCCACGCCCUAAACGAUGUCAACUGGUUGUUGGGUCUUCACUGACUCAGUAACGAAGCUAACGCGUGAAGUUGACCGCCUGGGGAUACGGCCGCAAGGUUGAAACUUAAAGGAAUUGACCGGNNGAGAGNGACGAGACGACGACGAGGAGAGG
rnacentral:rRNA from 1 species